AUUGAACGCUGGCGGAAUGCUUUACACAUGCAAGUCGAGCGGCAGCGCGGGGCAACCUGGCGGCGAGCGGCGAACGGGUGAGUAAUACAUCGGAACGUGCCCAGACGUGGGGGAUAACUACUCGAAAGAGUGGCUAAUACCGCAUACGAUCUAAGGAUGAAAGCGGGGGAUCGCAAGACCUCGCGCGUUUGGAGCGGCCGAUGGCAGAUUAGGUAGUUGGUGGGGUAAAGGCUUACCAAGCCCGCGAUCUGUAGCUGGUCUGAGAGGAUGAUCAGCCACACUGGGACUGAGACACGGCCCAGACUCCUACGGGAGGCAGCAGUGGGGAAUUUUGGACAAUGGGCGCAAGCCUGAUCCAGCCAUUCCGCGUGCAGGAUGAAGGCCUUCGGGUUGUAAACUGUCUUUUGUACGGUAACGAAACGGCGAGCUCUAAUACAGUUUGCUAAUGACGGUACCGUAAGAAUAAGACACCGGCUAACUACGUGCCAGCACGG
rnacentral:rRNA from 1 species